AGUCUCGAGGUGUUACACAUGUCAGAUUGCAAAUCUGGAGUGGCAGGUUAGACCCUGCCGGGGCUU
rnacentral:tRNA from 1 species